rnacentral:rRNA from 1 species
AGAGUUUGAUCCUGGCUCAGGAUGAACGCUAGCUACAGGCUUAACACAUGCAAGUCGAGGGGCAGCAUGAACUUAGCUUGCUAAGUUUGAUGGCGACCGGCGCACGGGUGAGUAACACGUAUCCAACCUGCCGAUGACUCGGGGAUAGCCUUUCGAAAGAAAGAUUAAUACCCGAUGGCAUAGUUCUUCCGCAUGGUAGAACUAUUAAAGAAUUUCGGUCAUCGAUGGGGAUGCGUUCCAUUAGGUUGUUGGCGGGGUAACGGCCCACCAAGCCUUCGAUGGAUAGGGGUUCUGAGAGGAAGGUCCCCCACAUUGGAACUGAGACACGGUCCAAACUCCUACGGGAGGCAGCAGUGAGGAAUAUUGGUCAAUGGACGAGAGUCUGAACCAGCCAAGUAGCGUGAAGGAUGACUGCCCUAUGGGUUGUAAACUUCUUUUAUACGGGAAUAAAGUGAGGCACGUGUGCCUUUUUGUAUGUACCGUAUGAAUAAGGAUCGGCUAACUCCGUGCCAGCAGCCGCGGUAAUACGGAGGAUCCGAGCGUUAUCCGGAUUUAUUGGGUUUAAAGGGAGCGUAGGCGGAUGAUUAAGUCAGUUGUGAAAGUUUGCGGCUCAACCGUAAAAUUGCAGUUGAUACUGGUUUCCUUGAGUGCAGUUGAGGCAGGCGGAAUUCGUGGUGUAGCGGUGAAAUGCUUAGAUAUCACGAAGAACUCCGAUUGCGAAGGCAGCUUACUGGACUGUAACUGACGCUGAUGCUCGAAAGUGUGGGUAUCAAACAGGAUUAGAUACCCUGGUAGUCCACACAGUAAACGAUGAAUACUCGCUGUUUGCGAUAUACAGUAAGCGGCCAAGCGAAAGCAUUAAGUAUUCCACCUGGGGAGUACGCCGGCAACGGUGAAACUCAAAGGAAUUGACGGGGGCCCGCACAAGCGGAGGAACAUGUGGUUUAA